rnacentral:ncRNA from 1 species
GACCUGAAAGAUGGUGAACUAUGCCUGGGCAGGGCAACUCCAGAGAAAACUCUGGUGAAGGUCCAUAGUGGUCCCAAUGUGCAAAUCCAUCCUUCUACCUGGAUAUAGGGGCAAAAGACUAAUUGAACCAUCUAGUAACUAG